UGGCAAACUUGUCCGAACCGCAAGGUUCAUAUUUAUUUUUUGGAGUUUUAUCAUGGCACUGUCCAUCGAACAAAAAGCACAAAUCGUCAAAGAUUUCCAACGCAAAGAA
rfam:Neisseria wadsworthii 9715 genomic scaffold SCAFFOLD1, whole genome shotgun sequence.